GUCGAACGGACUCAUAUUGAAACCUAGUGAUUUAUGAGUUAGUGGCGGACGGGUGAGUAACGCGUGGAUAACCUGCCGUAUACCGGGGGAUAACACUUAGAAAUAGGUGCUAAUACCGCAUAAGCGCACGGCUCCGCAUGGGGCAGUGUGAAAAACUCCGGUGGUAUACGAUGGAUCCGCGUCUGAUUAGCUAGUUGGCGGGGUAACGGCCCACCAAGGCAGCGAUCAGUAGCCGGCCUGAGAGGGUGGACGGCCACAUUGGGACUGAGACACGGCCCAAACUCCUACGGGAGGCAGCAGUGGGGAAUAUUGCACAAUGGGGGAAACCCUGAUGCAGCGACGCCGCGUGAGUGAAGAAGUAUCUCGGUACGUAAAGCUCUAUCAGCAGGGAAGAAAAUGACGGUACCUGACUAAGAAGCCCCGGCUAACUACGUGCCAGCAGCCGCGGUAAUACGUAGGGGGCAAGCGUUAUCCGGAUUUACUGGGUGUAAAGGGAGCGUAGACGGCAGCACAAGUCUGGAGUGAAAUCCCGGGGCUUAACCCCGGAACUGCUUUGGAAACUGUGCGGCUGGAGUGCAGGAGGGGUAAGCGGAAUUCCUAGUGUAGCGGUGAAAUGCGUAGAUAUUAGGAGGAGCACCGGUGGCGAAGGCGGCUUACUGGACUGUAACUGACGUUGAGG
rnacentral:rRNA from 1 species